rnacentral:rRNA from 1 species
AAACUUAAAUGAAUUGACGGGGACCCGCACAAGCGGUGGAUGAUGUGGUUUAAUUCGAUGCAACGCGAAAACCUUACCCACCUUUGACAUGUACGGAACUUUGCCAGGAGAUGGCUAGUGCUCGAAAGAGAGCCGUAACACAGGUGCUGCAUGGCUGUCGUCAGCUCGUGUCGUGAGAUGUUGGGUUAAGUCCCGCAACGAGCGCAACCCUUGUCAUUAGUUGCUACAUUCAGUUGGGCACUCUAAUGAGACUGCCGGUGACAAACCGGAGGAAGGUGGGGAUGACGUCAAGUCCUCAUGGCCCUUAUAGGUGGGGCUACACACGUCAUACAAUGGCUGGUACAAAGGGUUGCCAACCCGCGAGGGGAGCUAAUCCCAUAAAGCCAGUCGUAGUCCGGAUCGCAGUCUGCAACUCGACUGCGUGAAGUCGGAAUCGCUAGUAAUCGUGGAUCAGAAUGUCACGGUGAAUACGUUCCCGGGUCUUGUACACACCGCCCGUCACACCAUGGGAGCGGGUUCUGCCAGAAGUAGUUAGCCUAACCGCAAGGAGGGCGAUUACCACGGCAGGGUUCGUGACUGGGGUGAAGUCGUAACAAGGUAGCCGUAUCGGAAGGUGCGGCUGGAUCACCUCCUUUCUGAC